AUAACACCGUGGGCUGUCGGCUCGGCAAGUACAAGGGCGGGACGUGUGCUGUGGCAGCCCCGUUUGACACCGUGCACAUCCCCGAAGCCACCAAGCAGGUGGUGAAGGCCUUCCAGGAGUUCAUCCGGUGAGGACCUGUGACGGGGCUCCCGGGAAGUCCUAUGCGGUGUGGGAGCAGAGGGUGGUGAUCCUGCCCCGGGAAUUCUGGAGUGCCUGCCAUUUCAGCCAGAUGAAGGAAGGUGUGGCCAGAGGAGAGAGCAGGGGGACUGCUUGCCCAGUUGUGGGCACUUGGGCCAGCUCGUGAUUCCCACAGGUCCACUCCAUACUCGGCAUACGACCCAGAGACGUACACAGGCCACUGGAAGCAGCUGACUGUGCGCACCAGCCGCCGCCACCAGGCCAUGGCCAUUGCCUACUUCCACCCCCAGAAGCUGAGCCCUGAGGAGCUGGCAGAGCUGAAGACCUCCCUAGCGCAGCACUUCACAGCAGGGCCAGGCAGGGCCAGUGGAGUGACCUGCCUCUACUUCGUGGAGGAGGGACAGCGACUCCUAGCCAGGAGGGCCUGCCCCUGGAGCAUGUGGCUGGGGACCGGUGCAUCCACGAGGACCUGCUAGGGCUGACCUUCCGGAUCUCUCCACACGCCUUCUUCCAGGUGAACACACCCGCAGCCGAGGUGCUCUACACAGUCAUCCAGGACUGGGCCCAAUUGGAUGCGGGGAGCAUGGUGCUGGACGUGUGCUGUGGCACCGGCACCAUU
rnacentral:lncRNA from 1 species